AUAUAUUUUUUCACCUGCAAAAAAAAAAAACAGCGGUCCGUGCAUUUUUCUCGUUUUUUGGCAGGGUUAGAAUUCACGCAAGUGCAAGAUAUCUAGAUGGAUGUCAUGCCAGGGUCUCUGUUUUCCUUAGCAGAAAAUAGAUUGUUUCGUGUACAAUGUGCCCCGCGAAACAAAUGGAGCAUGCAUAAAUAUUUCCGUGCACUGAGCGUUCUCGUAUCUAUGGGACAUCCACCGUACCCAAGCGACUGCCUGUUUUCUGCUAAUUUUUGGCUCUGUGCUGCAUAAGAAUGGUGACGGUGCAGCCCAUCAUGGUUCCUUGGUGCUUUGUGUGCGUUCUUGUUUUUUGCUUCCUAGUUGUAUUCCCAACUUUUGCCCAUUUGCCCCCAAAGAAAUUUGAGGCUUCCCCCCUGAAUCCUGUAACAAUAAUCACCAAAAAAAAAACCAAACAGGGUUAUGCAUUUGACAAGUUCAUCUCUUGUGAAUCUCUACUUAGUUGCACGUUUCACUACAAUGGUAACGAACCACCAAAACUGUCGCAUGUCGGUGCUAUUUGGAAUGGAAAAUCAGAAUUUCUUGCACAUCAAUUUUACUUUGGUCAGGAAUCUAAACUAUACCCCUAAUAGCAUCAGGUUCGCUUGGAUUCUUAUGUUGCCGCGUUGCUGAAUGACACUUUGAUGAGAACCCUCUGGACAGUAUGACACUUUGAUGAGAACACCGCAGAGGGAAAGUGUCAUUUCACUUCCUUUUAUCUGGUGUAUCUUUCGCGGAAAAUCUUUUCUUCUCUUCUUUAUAGUAUGAAUGAAACAUAGGCAGAGCUCCUACCAAAAUUGCUUUUGGCUCCGGAGCUCUAGUGAUCCCGGCACGACAAAAUCCAUCUUGUGUAUCGGAUGGUUCCUACAGUUUAUUUUUGGAGGAUUCAAAAUACAUUUUGGAGAGACGGGGGUGAGCCAAAGUUCAAAAUGUUUUGAGAGAAAAAUCCAAUCGUAAUUUUUUAGAAAAUAAAAUUCAGGUAUAAUUUUUUAGAAUCAAAAUCCAAGCCUAAAAUCCUAUGAGGGAAAAAAAAUCCAAGUCUUCUUCCUAAUCUUAAAAAUCCCGACCUAAUUUUUUAGUACACCCUCUGUUCCCUAAUACAGGACAUUUUGCCAGUUUAAAUUGAACUGCCAAAACGUCCUACAUUACUGAAUAGAUAGAAGAUUAUGCUGUGAAUACAUAAAAAAUAGAUAAAAGUUCACCAGAUAAAAGAAAGUGAAAUAAAUCUGGACUGUAUAGAUCCUAGGUAAAACUGAAAACUACAUCCACGUCAUUCGAAGUCGUAGUCUCAAUCUUCGUUCUUUCUUGUUUGCAUGUCAGCAUUCGAUGAUGGUUCUAGGGAAGAAAGUAGAAAAACCAGAAGCUUUCAACCCAGAAGAAAAUAAAAAUCACUUGUCACCCUUUAAUUUUUGGGACACAGCCCAUUUUCGUGUGGACCGCAACACCCCAUGAGGCCACGACCCUCUUUGGCGAGGGAGAGAGGGGUUCCCAUCUCAAGAAAAGAAUGUCUAAAAAAAAAUCUCAAGAAAAAAAAAACCACUCAAAAAAAUAUCUCAAGAAAAAAAAAACACUCAAAAAAAUAUCUCAAGAGAAAAUGUCUCUCUCCCUCCCCCCUCUUACCCUGGUUCUCAUGUAUACUUUGGCCAUCUCCAUCUUGCAAAUCGUUGCUAUUUCGGUAGUCUUGAUUGAUAGAUUCGAAACACGUUGUUGCUACGGUAAUCUUGAUUGAUAGAUUAGAUUCCCACUUGCUUUUUUGUUGUAAGAGAUUUGGAUGCACUACCAAGUCAUAGAACCCUAGACUGUGAAAUUAAACUGAGCCCACGAUCUGCAAAUGGGAAAGGGGAUUCAGGUUACCCACCUCAAAGAACCCUAGCAUUUCUAUGUAGUACUGUAUCUGUUUGUUGGGCAUUUCACAUUUGUUACUAACAGAGGCUCCUGUUUCCUUUGGGGCUUUUGGUUUCAUCUGCUUUAUUUACGUCUGAUUGGAGUAAUUACUGAUGUUUUCAAAGCAGGAGACUGGUUUACACUGUCCCUAGGGAUCCAACCCCUUGCUGUAUACUGUGUCACUACUGUCUUCUAUGUUUUUAUCCUAGCGCAUAUUUGUUAUCUGUGCACAUGACAAGAAUCUCAGGAAACACACAUUCCCUAGCCAUUGUAUGUUGGCACUUUGUGUUGCUUCUUUGUUCGGAACUUUUUUAAAUAUCCAGACAUCCAGUUCAUACUUCUAAUAUUUUUUCCUUUGAUUCAUAAUUUGUUUCAGAGAAGCUGCGAUCACCUGUAACACCGAGGCCUGCUGUGUUUGCUUCUACCGUCUCAGCUAUGUCCGGGCUUCAAGGUUGGGCAGACCUCCCAGAUGGCCUGCUUCACUCCAUUGUUUGUCGGUUGGGAUCCUUCCCUGAUCUUCUUGCUUUCGCUGCCACCUGCCCCUCUUGGCGUGUUUCCUUAUUCUCCUAUCCCUCCAAAUCGACAUUGUUGCCACCUCUCCUCCUCCAACCUGAUAUCCCUGUUUGCUCUUCUCGUCCUUGCCCAUUGAGCAACAGCCUCGUACCCAAACACUCAUGCUAUGUUACUGAUCUUGCCAACAAAGACACCUAUAUGUGCUAUCAGGUUCCCCAAUUUGCUUGUUUUGUUGACAGAAAAUCCCCACCGGGUUUACUGGAUAAUUUUUCUUUGGGAAGUGUUUCCUAUGGCCAUCUCAUAUUGGCCAACCAACAACAAUCAUGUCUUCUUGUUGAUGUCUUCACAGGUGUUAGUGUCUCAGCUCCGCAGCUACCGGUUGGUGGAUAUAUUCUCCUAUACUAUGCUGCCCUCACGGCUCCUCUUUCGUCACGCAACUCACAUCUACCGGUUGUGACCAUAGCAGCUUCUGUGGCAGUGAGCAUGUAUGAGUUUGUAAGGUAUCCCGACUUUAUGUAGCUUUGAUGUGGUCUAUCAAGUUUUGAACCUUUGCUUUGUAGGUCAUGUUGGAGUGUAAGGAUGUCGUGGUCGAUUUCUACCCUUUUCGUAUGGCUUGCAUGAAAUUGUUGUUUAUGUUCAAGCUAACUCUACUAGCUUAUUCUGAAAAAUUGCUGUUCCAGCAGAGAACAGAACAGUCACUCCUUUGCAGUUAGAUUAGGAGAUGUUUACGGUGGCAAGAGCCUGAAGUUUUUGCAGUUAGUUCCAUCCUUGGGUGUUUAACUACUUAUUGACAGAUAUUCAGAUCUUAGUAAGAGAUGUGUCUCUGUUAUCAGUUUUAUGUGCUGUUUAACUGCUUACUGAAUCUUCUUCUUCUGUUGCUGAAACUGACAAUUUUCAUGUGUAGUUUUGCCUUAGGCUGCAUGGUGUGGCCUUGUGAAUUUAUCAUGUGUGAGCAAGGGAUUCUUCUUCAGGUGCAUGGUUUUGUUUCAGGUUGCAUGCCCUGAAAUGACUAAAUGAAUACAUGAACUGAAAAAUGCACCUGGGUUGGUUUGUUGUAUGGUUGCUGGCCUAGAAACAUGAAGAAGACAUGUGUUGCAUGAACCGUAUUCUUAUGUUGAUUAGCAUGCGUGCACUUUCUCUUGAGUUGAGUAGUACUUGCACUCCCAUUUGUACUCCCCACCUUGCCUAGCUUGGAAACCACCCACAUCGCAUAUUGUAGUGAGCUCAGGCAGAUCUUCCUGGAGGGCGGCACAUACGAAAGAGAACUUGCUACCAACAUAGAAUUCCGAAGCAUCAUCAGGAAGAUUCAAGAUGUCGGCGCUGAUACUGGAGAGCAUCAAGCUCAGGGGCUGCUGGAGUCUUGAGACAGUUACUGGCCAGCAAAGCUAGUCGUGCACACGAUAAGCCACCAGUAGUUGUCGACUGCUAGAAAGAUUGGUGGGACAUGCUUCAGUGGGAUGGGCUGGAGGAAAGAUGCCGCCUCUUAGCCCGAGGCAUUCUCAUUACUACAAGAAGACAAUUCCGAGAGGAUCGCUUCUAAGGUGACUCUAAAAUGCAUGGAUAUUACAUCGAUCUGUGGAUGCUACCCGCUAGCUUGGGCAUUGUGGAGAUGUUCAAUUAUUUACUUAUAGUGGCAUAGAUGUCUCCAAUAAAUUGGUAGUGCUGCUUGUGCGAGUGCCCAUGCACCGGAUUACAGCUCGACUAAUUGUCGUGAUUGUGCGUUUGCCUGAGCUGAUUGUGUAUGUUUGACUUGGCUUGAGAUUGCUAUUUUUUUAAAAAAAUAAUGUGGUCUGAGUGUAUUGUAUACACGAGAAGAACCUACUAGUGUUGUCUGGUGUGAGAACAAGGACCUGUUAUGUUUAUGUACGGA